GAUGAACGCUGGCGGCGCGCCUAACACAUGCAAGUCGAACGAUUAAAGCACCUUCGGGUGUGUAUAAAGUGGCGAACGGCUGAGUAACACGUGGGCAACCUGCCCCUUUCAUUGGGAUAGCCACGGGAAACCGUGGAUAAUACCGAAUACUUCGAGACUUCCGCAUGGAAGACUCGAGAAAGCUCCGGCGGAGAGGGAUGGGCCCGCGGCCUGUUAGCUUGUUGGUGGGGUAACGGCCUACCAAGGCAAUGAUGGGUAGCUGGGUUGAGAGACCGACCAGCCAGAUUGGGACUGAGACACGGCCCAGACUCCUACGGGAGGCAGCAGUGGGGAAUCUGGCACAAUGGGCGAAAGCCUGAUGCAGCGACGCCGCGUGCGGGAUGAAGGCCUUCGGGUUGUAAACCGCCUUCAGCAGGGACGAGGCGAAAGUGACGGUACCUGCAGAAGAAGCCCCGGCUAACUACGUG
rnacentral:rRNA from 1 species